GCGACCAGGGUGGGGAACUAGAGCCAGAGCCUGGCACGAACAGAGGGCUGGAGGUGUGAGCACUCAAAGGCGGCGGGACGGGGCUCCCAGCGACUGCCCCAGAGAUCGGCUUCUGUUUGGCGGACAGCGGGUCCUAGCCUGCACGAGACGGUUCCAGACGCUUGCCACAACCAAGGAAAUGUGCUGCUUGUGUUCUACUUUCAGAGACAGCAAGAGAAAUAAUUAACUAUUUGCCCACACCCCAGAGAAAGACAUCCUUCCUACUGGUAAUAACCUCUAUUUCCUCCAAAUAAGAUGGGUGGGAACAGAAGAACUUCCACCCAUAAGUUGUUUCACAAGUGAAAGCACUAGCAUUUGACCAAACCUGCUUUUCACCUCAACUGCUGCAAGACCUCUUCAGACCAUGGACAACAGUACACCGAGGAAUUGACUGCCUCGAGUUGCCUACACCAAUGGAGAAUGAAGGCAUCCAGCUGAAGAAUCUGGAAACUACUAAACAAAUGAGACAUGUGAAAAAAAGGACAAAUCAUUCAGAAAUUAUUUCCCAAGAAAAAGAAUAAAUUGGACUAUAAAUAUAUCACAUUUCCAAUAAGAUAAAAUUUUAUAACUCUUCUCAAAUUCUUGUUUCUGCUGACAUAAAAUGUUUCUACAGACAUAUAAUGCAAACUGUCCCAAUCCAACUAAUAUUAAAG